UACAGAGACCUCAAGCGUUAUCCGGAUUUAUUGGGCGUAAAGCGUUCCGAUCGGCUGUCUGACAAGUCUUUGGUUAAAUCCCACGGCUCAACCGUGGAAUCGCUAAGGAUACUUUCAGACUCGAGGGGCAAAGAGGUGCUUGGAACGAAUGGAGUAGCAGUGAAAUGCGUUGAUAUCAUUCGGAACACCAAAUGCGAAGGCAGAGCACUGGGUGCCUCCUGACGCUGCUAGGACGAAAGCGUGGGUAGCGAAUGGG
rnacentral:misc_RNA from 1 species